AGUUCUUUUAUGGGAUGAGUCCUGUAUUUUCCCAAUUUUGUGAGUAAGAGAAUCCUCAGAGUGGGAACACAGAGUGAGUAACGGCGCCAGCUAUUAAACCAGCUGCGUGAUCGUGCCCCAUCUCCUUCCCCCUUAGGGCUGGAGUUGAAGGAGACCUCCAGUAAGGCCUGUCACUCACCUGACAGGGUGUUGGUAUUGCAAAAGCUUCCCGGAAGCUUCUGCCAUUCCUGGGCCACUGGGCAACUAGGAAGGAAAGGAGUAAUCGCAGUCACCAUGCAUCUCAUUGUCGAAAUUGGGAAGGUGUGAGACCCAGCGCCUCUGGUUCAGGAGUUCGAACCCACGGUCUCCAGAAGCCCUCGGACCUGCAGGAUGGCAAGCGCAAGUCGCGCACAAAGAACGUGAGCCCAGCCACCGGACUCAACUCGGACUUAGUAAGGGCACCGGGCCCGGGCAAAGGCAAGAGCGGCGGGUAAAAGGCGAGGGCUGAAGUAGAGGGCGAACAGGGACGAGCCGGGGCCAGGCGGUCCUCGGGCUCAGUGGGCGGCGGGCACGGGGCGAGGGUGGAGAAUGCGCGGGGAUGGAUCCCGGCUGAUAGGUACCCGGGCUGCGCGGACGGCGGGCAGCGGCUGCGCGAGGGCGGACGUGCUGGGUUGUGCGCGCUCUCGGCGCUCUCGGUGGUAUCCAUGGCAGGACGACCGCGUCGGUGUCGCAGCCCGGCUUUAUCUAGCCCUUGCAGACCUUCGCACCCCGGUCGCCCUCGCUGCUCUGCAUAAACAAAACGGCAGCGCGUGAAGGCGCCGCGGGCCGCGCGCGGGUGUGAACGCGUGCAACAUCCCAAAUGGCCCGGGAACCGGCUGCUGGAGCGAGUGUUAAUAGCCCCCUGACACACGGUCUGGGAGAAAAACAGCAUGCGCCCAAGCAGCCAAUUUCCAUGUGAAGAGGUUAGGAGGGGAUGGAAUUAAACGAUUCUACACGUUUUUGUGUAUUUCUGCAAAAAUGCCCAGGGCUGGUAAUUGCCUGACACUUGGCUUGGCUUUUUGGCCUUCAGCAAAUGUAGCUGGCUCUGCAGCAACCAGUGUUCUACAAACUGGAUAUGAUAUAAGAAGAAAAAAAGAAUAGCUUUAAUCACUCCCUCCCCACAACAUCAAGCAAAAACGCAAACGAAGUGUCUGUAUGUGGAAAUAUAGAUCAAUAAUAAAUGUAUGUUUUUAAAAAAAUGUUAUUGAAAAGUUAUGUUCACAAUCUGCCUGUUACUUGAAGGGGAUGGACAAUCUUAGGCAAGAAGAAAUGAACUAUGAAAACCUGAUUGUUACAUCCAAGAGGGGCUGAGACAGUUGUCAUGUGGUUUCAGUGCCUUCCCACAGCCUCUUGACUUUCUCUCAAACUCUUGUCAGUAUCUCUCUCCAGUAAGCCCUGGUGUAUCAUCUCUACAAAUCUGCCAUCACUUGGCAUUAUAUCAAUAGAUCAUAGUUAGACGAUACUUUUGUGGUUGGGAAAGAUGAUGAGGAUAAUGAAUUCUGGAAGGUUAUGAUAUGAGAUAAAUUAUUUAUUCUUCCUGUACUAGUUUCUUCUCUUGGGAGUUACCCCUUGUUUAUCUGUAGAGGUUCAUCAAACCUGUCCCCCUCAGAUGUUCUGUUUCAAAGCAAAUGUGACCUGUAAAUGUUAUAAUUUCUUCCUAAGACAUUUUAAAUAAUGGAAAUGAGUUUCCUCAAACACUGCAGAUUGAAAAUCUUGAGUGUAAGCCUAGUGGUACUGCUCCCCACUCUGUUACUUCAUAAGAAAAGAAUCCACUUAAUUGUUACCUAGAGGGCUGCAAUGACGUGACUACCAGAGGAUGAGAUAGGAUUUUCUUCAGAUAAUGAAAUCAGUGAAGAUGGCUAUUGCUAUUCUCCGUGGCUCAGAGUAACGACGCUUAUUAAAUGCUUGUUGCAUGUCUGGCACACAAUAAGCCCUUCCUUGACAGAUGAUAAAAAUGAUUUUAGGAAUAUCAUGGCCAGCUGACAAGAUUAAGGUUAAGAUGCCUGCUGCCAGGCCUGACGACCUGAGUUCAAUCCCCAGAGCCUGCAUGGUAGAAGGAAAAAACUGACUCCCACAAGUUGUCAUCUGACCUUACACACAACAGUGGCGUGAAAGCCCACCAUAUCCAUACCCAAGCACACACACAGACCACCACCAUCACCACCACCACCUACUACUAUUAGAUAAAUAUAAUAAAAAUAUGACCUUACAGAUGUGACCUAUUUGAUGAAGAGACCUAUUCCAGUUGCAUAAAUAUCUUUGAAUUAUCGGCAAUGUAUUAAAUCCUGAAUUUUUACAAGUGAUGAAAUAAAUGUUCCCUCCUUACUCAGGAAUACUGCAAUAUAUGGUCAUUACUGUGGCCACAAAAUCAAUAAUAUUUUUAACAAAACAUAUUUAAUUGCUAAAGAACACUCUACAUUUAGAAAUGACAGUUGGGAGGAUUUGGCGUGUCUUUUAGGUACAAUGAGGAAAGCCCACUUAGAGUAAAUGAAACCUACACAGGGAUUUCUAAAAGGAUCAGUUAAAGAAUGCUACUGUCUCUGUGUGGAAACUGGCUAAGAGGAGAAGGGAUGAGGUUAUUGCUGACACAGAGAUGUGGUGAAAGAGACAGGGCAGGCGUGGGCUGCUUGGAAUAUGCUGUGCUCAGACAUUUUGACUUCAUUCUGUAAGUAUUGGCAGAAGACUGACUAAGCGGGAAUAGGGGAUGACUACAGUUUGUAUCUUACUUUUUUUAAAGGCUUUGUUUUGUUUUGUUUUUUUGACACAACCAUGGAAGAUGAGAGUCAUUGAAACCUGGUGGUGAGAACAGGAAACCCCCUGAAAGGCUGAAUGAUAGUAGGGCAUAUAUAAAUCACAGAGGGCAGAUUUGAAGGGCAGUUAGGAAAUAGCAUCUACAGAAGUGUCUGGGCCAUAAAGACAAAGUGUUCAUGAAAGUGGAGCUGAGAUGUGUUCUGAGAUAUGGAACCCACUUAGCAGAGGUAGUGGUACUGGGUCAGGCAAAGUCAAGAUCACAGCAGACCCAGAGUGCAAGGUAUACUUCUAUGUUUCAGUUUUUCAAAUGACCCAGAGAAGAACAAGAAAAUAAUGAAUUUUAUAUUGGUUUGCCAAUCAACUAGGACAGACCGGGCAAUAUUGGCAGUAAGAAAUACUUCCAAAACUUCACAGGAUUAACAAAAGAGAAGUGAUUUUCCUGGUCACCCUAUAUACAUCUUGUUUUGUCUAGUGGAAGGCUACCUUUUAAGCUUGGCUUUUGAAGGCAAGCUGAUAAAGUUUGAUAUCUCUGGUCUGAUGCUAGUUAUUAUAACAGGGAGACACAAAUAAAAUUGUGUAUCUAAAGCGACACAUGUCACCUCCAAAACAUUUCUCUGGCCUAAACUAGUGAGAUGACAUAUUCAUCUCAAAGGAGAAAGGAAAUACAUUUCCAUUGUAUUCCCCCAAAAAGGAGAGACAGAAACAAACAGCAUAGGAGAGUAGCGUCUCUCCCUGCUGCUACUGAAUGGAUACUCAGUUCACUGUCCUUCUUGGGGGUUCGGGGGAACAGUCACACUAAGGACAAGAACUCAGAUGGAUCCGGUGGCUUCUGAGAAGUCUUGAUGAAAAUAGAUGGAGAUACCCAAAGAGCAACCAGAGAUACAUGUGCUUGGGUGCAGCAGAGAACUUAAAUUGAACUUGAGCAUCGGCCCAAAAAGGUGAUCAACAAUAGGAACUAAAUAGUUUCCUAAAGAAAUGUUGUGGCUUUUGAGAGCAAACCAAGGCCAGAGCUGUGCAGGCUGUCAUUUCUUAGAUGAGCCAGAAUACAUUUUUUUAAAAAAAUCGCUGAAGAGGAUCAGUGGCAGAUAAAAGGGAUCAGGUUCAAGUGUUGUGGGAAGAUGAGGUAAGGACUUCUCCCAGUAAGGGAGAAGAGAGCCAAACACGAUAAUGAGACAUUCAUCAGAUUCAGCGACUAAAGGGUUCUACGUGACUUUAGACAUCAUCAUUUGGACGAAUGUGGACAGAUGCUUUUUCCUGCAAGUUGGUUUAUAGACUCAGGCUGAAGAAGAGGAGAAUGUUGAGGAUGCUCUCUUGAGAGCAGAUCAGGAGAGGGGGGUCCUCUGGGGAGGAGGGACUACGUGAUGCUGAUGGUCCCCAAGAAGGUUGAAAUGAGCUCAGCGACUCUGGGGGAAGAUCCUCAUGACGUGCGAAAUUACUGCUGAUUGCAAUCAAAUACCUGAGAAGUUGACCAUCCAAGGGAAUCGAUCUGGCAAGCAAGAAGGAGGGGCACUGUGUGGCAAUGACAUACACAGAUCUGAGAGAACACAGCAUCCCCGGAAGGAAAGGUGAGAGCCAGGUAAUAAGAAUAUAGCAAGAAUAAAGUUUGAUCAAGUUUAUUUUAAACUGAGAGGUAAAAAUAUAGAUUACUAGGAUGACAAACAAAUCCCAAACCUUCCAUUUCUACACUUAUUUCAUUAAAUCAGCUACUUGUAUGGAGCUUAAAGCUGAGUCUUCCAUGUCACUGGAGACAAAGUACUUUUUUUUUAUUUAUGUUUUUUUUUUUUUUUUUUUGUCUGCACAGCUUAUCAUUCUCAUCAAAGAUAGGCUCACACAGAUAAGUCAGAUAAACCCUGAAAGGGAGCAUUACUUCUAAGGUGUUUCAGAAGACAAGAACUCUUUUCACGAACAUCAGAUUCACUACCUUAGAAUGGAUGCACACACUUCUUAAGCUUGCCUCAGCAUGGGGAUAAUGUCUUCUCAAACAGCCAGACAGAUUGCUGCUGAGAGAGUUCCAUGACUUCCAUCCCUGAGACUCACAGGCUGGAAGCUGAGAAGCCACUUCUGCAAGCAAGUUGUCCUUUGACUCUCACAAUGUGCACUGUGGCAAGCAGAUGCAUAAAACACAAACGCGCACGCGCACGUGCACACACACACACACACACACACACACAAUUAAAAUGCAAUAAAAUAAUGACAAAUAAAUUAGAAAGAAAUAUGACACAGCCUGUGGUCUAACGUAACAUGUUGCAGUUAGGUUUUAAAGUUUCAGGCUGAGCCCUAGCAGGAGGUUUCCAUUAUCUUUUUCAACACACUCUUCAAAACAUACUCAUACUCUAGAGGCCAACCUCCAUAAUCCGCUAGGACUGAAAUAUUAAAAUCUUCAUUUAUUCAAGCAUUUAUUGGACACCCACCAUGUAUCAGAUGCAAUUCCCACAACUUGGGCUCCAUUCAUGAAAAAAAGGUCACCACUGUCAUACAUCAGGAAGCAGUAUUUUUACAUACAUCCAAGCCACCAAGCUUUAUGUUCUACUAGAGAAAAAUUAUAAAUUUACCUUACAUAUGUGUGCCAAACAUGUUUUGUUUCUUUAUUACUACAAGACUAAUAUGAGUAUGAAAGGGAGUAUAUCUCAGAGGCAAAAUGCUAGACGUUGGUCCCCAAGAAGGAAGCCAGGAAGCCAGCAAGACCAUACCAACAGACAGAUUGAGUAUCAAUAGUGUCUGAAAAAUACAAGCAAGAAAAAGAAACAGAAUCUGAACCAACCAGCCAUUUUGAUUGUGGCCCACUGUGGCACUACACUUUCCAAGGGACAAGAUGACCUCCUAGGAUGUAAUUUAUUGCCCACUUAGAAAUGGAGCUGAAGAGACAUGUGAAGGACUGGGACAUCACCAUGCUUCACUGCUGCUUGCCACCGUGUGCCUCCAGACAGUGCCAGCUUCACUUGUGAUCAGAGGCCAGUUUAUAUUCAUCCCUUCAGUGACUUUAUGAAGACUGUACAGUUAAGCAAGAAUGGACACCUGUCUAAAACAACUAGACUUUGUUUGAACAUUGCACAUAUAAAAUGUGUGUCUUGCCGGGCAAAUUAGUCACUUCUAUCUGAACACUAAUUGAGUAAAUUUAAUAACAGUUUUGGUAUUCUGUUUUAAUUUCAUAAUUAUGGUUUCCCCCCCAAAAAAACUUAUGAGAAAUCAAAUACAAAUCCCUAAACCUAAUGUGUGUGAGGGUAUUGGGACGUUGCAAAACUGAACUAUGGUGAGGGGUGCACAGUUCUGUGAAUUAAUUCAGUGUUGUUAACUUGUAUCACUAUAUAAUUUAGUUAUAUGAAAAAUGAUAAACCUUAAAGGAUAGAUUCUUCCUUGUCUGUUCUCAGGUUGUGACUGAUGAACUAGACAAUUAAACCUGUUUUAAACAUUGCAGGUUUGCAAGUUUUUAAAAACCACGUGUCUUGGGAGCUGGAGAGUUGCCAAGUGGUUAGAGCACUUGUUGCUCUUCCAGAGGAUCUAAGAACCAGUUCCCUUUGACUGGUGGCUCACAAUCACUUAUAACUCCAGCUCCAGGGAGGUAGGUCCCUUUCUGGUCUCUUCAAGCACCUGACCAUACACACAAAUAUACACAUGAAUAAAAGCUAAAAUAACCCUUGUUUUUUUACACUCCAUACAUUAUUCCUUCCAACCCCCAUCCACCUCCCAACUGUUCCACAUCCUAUACCCCUGUCUCCACGUGGAUGUCCCCACCCCCUGACCUCUAAUCUCCCUGGGACCCCCAGUCUCUUCAGGGUUAGGUGCGUCAUCUCUGAAUGAACACAGACCUGGCAGUCCUCUACUGUAUACGUGUUGGGGGUCUCAUAUCGGCUGGUGUACGCUGCCUGUUUGGUGGUCCAGUAUUUGAGAGAUCUCAGGGAUCCAGAUUAAAUGAGACUGCUGGUCCUCCUACAGGACUGCCCUUCUCAGCUUCUUUCAGCCUUCCCUAAUUCAACAACAGGGAUCAGCUGCUUCUGUUCAUUGGUUAGGUGCAAAUAUCUGCAUCGGACUCUUUCAGCUGCUUGUUGGGUCUUCAGGAGUGUGGUCAUGCUAACCCUUUUAAUUUAAGAUCAGAGUUUAGCAUCUUUGGUAGAGAACAUGGCUAUAACACCUGUGAUGACAUCAGUAUUUGUUUCAGAGUAUAACUGUGUUUGCGCUGGUCUCCAGGAGUUCUGCCUUCACUGUAGCAAGUGUCUGGAGACUUUAUGUGAAUUGCCUGAUUUGUCAUGGUAAUCAGGACAAGUCCUUCAUGUGGAAGUAUUGGGUCUGCAGCAAAGAACUUGGUCUCCAAUCUGAGCAGCUCAUUAUUCACUGCCAAGUCUUGUCAAUCAAGUCUCCAUUAUUGCUGACUUGCCAGCCCAGGACCUCACACCAAGGCUACCCUCAUCAAAGAAGCAUUUAUAUCAGUCUGGAGCUUGCUAGGAGGUUAAACAUGUGAAAAUGUUUGAAACUCACUUGCCCAACCAAAAUGUCCCCUUUUCUUCCCCUUUUAUAAAUGAGAUGGAAUUUUUGUGAGCAGCAUUUUAUGGCAAUAACAUUCCAUUUGAGAUAAUUGACUUAAUGAAGAUCCUUUUUCAGUUGGAGGACCACAUAUUCUUCACUAAAGAUGGCAUUCACAAGCCACUUAGACACUGAAGAAUGUUCCCAGGUUUAAGAUGAAGAUAACAGUUGGGACAAAAACUGACGCAGAACUGAGCAGAGCUGGCGCGUGUUGUUUUAAAGCAAGAAGGUGCUCACAGAUGGCUCAGGGAGAGAUUUAGCAAGUCUGUGCUAAUCGCACUCAUGCAUGGGAAUACCUCCACCAGAAACAGCCACGGUUCCCUGGGCUCUUUUUUGGGGGGGAUGGGAGUGGGGGAUGGGGAUGGGAGUUCUUACUCAGUUAAUAACUACAAGAAGGAAUAAUAUUUGAAGAUCUGGACUAUCUAAUGCUUCGUAAUGUAGUUACCGUUGUGUGUAUCAUUCAGAUCUCUAAGACAAAGAGACUGCUCAUGAGCGGGGGUUACAACCCAAAGUUUACAAAGACAAAAAUGUUUAGAAGUUCAGUUUUGAACAAAAAAUAAGUGUGUGUUCUUGAAUGCUUUUCUUCUAGAUAGUCUCAGAUUAAUUUUCCAUACAGGAUAAAUUACUUAUAAUAGAACACAGUAUCUUUAAAAAAAUCUACCCAUAGACAUUAAAAGAAAUGUGUCUUUCCCAGUAUGAAACUAUAUUUUAUCGGUUUUGAUACAUCUGAUAUUUUCUUUUAAAUGUCUACUAAUGGUACAAAUUUAAAACCCAAUGUCACUAACUAUUUUUAACCAAAACAGCAUACAUACCAGGAUAUUUCUAUUCUAAAGUUUGCUUUCAGCACACAACAUAAGACGUUUCAAUGAGAGAGAAUUCAGAAAAGUAGAUUCAAUUACCAGAUAUUUAUUGACCAUCGAAGAUGAGUGUGGCACCAAGUUCGUGUGGAAUGUACAGCACAGGAGGGAAUCAACAUGUCACCCGGUCCUCACAUCCCUCUAGUCCAGUGGUUCUCAACCUUCCUAAUGCUGCGCCACUUUAAUACAAUUCAUUAUGCUGUGGUGACCCCCAACCAUAAAACUAUUUCGCUGCCAUUUCAUAUCCGUAAUUUUGAUGCUGUUAUGAAUUGUAAUGUAAAUAUCUGAUUCGCAGCAUAUCUGAUAUGUCACCCCCCGAAGAGGGUCAAGACCCACAGGUUGAGAACCGCUGCUCUAGCGAGAAGAUGGGAAGGACUCACAUGCACACCAGCAAUUACAGAUCCAUAAGCGUUCUAUGGGCAAAAUUAGACAAGAUUUGGUAGGAAGUAACCAGAGGGUACUACCUUGUUCUAUACAGGGUAGACAGGGAAGAUUCCCAGAGAGAUUUAAGCUGAGGCCUGAAGGAAACUGAUCAAGGAACAUUUCCUAAGUGAUCUAUACAUUAUUGCAAAAAUCAUCAUAGAAAAUAUGUUCCUUUUCUGGUUGGCUCAUAUUAGGUGAGACAGAUGGUGUGUGGGUUGUUGCAGGAAAGAAAAACCAAGGCUGUAUUGAAUAAUAUAUUUCUGUGUUUGUUUCUGAUUUUUAUUAGUGACCUAAGCUAGAGAAGUGUUUGGGUUUAGAAUAAAAUUUAUAUUCCUUAAAUAAUUAAAUGACUCCCAGUUUUUAGCUGAAAGGAGUAUGUUUUAAGGAAGAGGAUGUGUCAGCAGUGACAACUGCAGAACGACUUAAGUGGAAGAUCACACAUCAGACGACACCAAGGAGACCUUGAAGCACUAAGUUCCUCAGUUGAAACGCUGUGAAGACAACGAGGAUCAGGAGGACACGCUGAUGGCGGCCACCCUCUAGGGGAGAACGGGCUCCGGAACCUCACAGAGAUGAUGAUGCUACCUACGUACCAGUAUACAGAACUGACUAUCAAAAUGCCUAGGGGCUUUUGGUCCCUCCUUGAAUGUCCUCUACCUCCAGCAUCAACUUUAUACCCAGAGGUGCCUGUCUCCAGAUGAUGUGCUGGCGAGCUUUUGCACAUACAAAACAGUAGCUUGUGCUGACUCUGACAUGGACCUGCAAUAAAGAUGCAGAUGAGGUUUUGGGAAUGUCCAUCCGGGGAUAAGGAUGCACCCAUCAACUGACUUCUCACUGAGUGGCUGCUGUCCUUCAGACUACUGUGUGCUUUGUUGUAUCAAGAUGUAGUUUGUUUUUUUUUUUCUUCACGGAAGCCACAGACAGUUUCAGAGAAAGAAGACGUCUCUGUGGGUAAAACCACUUCUGUACAAGCUUCAGGGUCUGAGUUUGAAUCACCUGAACCUGAGUAAAAGCCAGAUGCCAAGAAAUCUUAAGAGAGUGUUCCCCAAAGUUUAUGGAGGAGACAAAGGGGUUAGAGAAUGUUUAUUUUCCUAAAACCAGAAGCUCAAACAAACAAACAAAAACCCAAAAAACCUCGUAUGUAUUUUCCCAACAAUAGACUCUCUGAACUUUUGACAUUAGCUCCUGAUUUAAAAUGUAAUACACAUUUCCAGACCAUACUCAUUGAUUUUUAACUCUCUGUUUUUUAUAUCCCCUCUACCACGUCACUGGAGCUUUUUUUUGGGGGGGGGGGGGAAUAAAAGUGAGUUUCUUUCCACCCCAGAACUAUAGCCCCCAAUAUGGUAGCCAUGGUAACUGUAUGUGGCUGUUUUAAGUUUCUUAGGAUGAGCUAAAGUUUAAAGAUCUGUUUCUCUUUUCCACUGCCUGCAUUCCAAAGGCCAGAGGCUACCUUGUGUGAAGGUCAAGGGGGAUGGAGCCUUAAACUCUGCAGAUUUGGGGUCUGUUUUCACAGAACGGGAGCUGUGGGCUGAGGUCUAUUGCCUGCUGAGUGUAGUGACUCUCUGGAAUGCCUACAUAGCCUUACACCUUUAUUCUUUUGUUCCUGCUCAAAUUUUCACCUCCAUUAAUUACUGCUGGAAAUAGUUAUGGUAAUUCACCACUAUUCCCAGAUGUUUCUGACACUUAUAAAUGUCUAUAAAUGUGCUAUUAUCUUUUCAUAAUAUUUUAUUCAUAUUUAAGGGAUCUAGAUCCCUCAAACUGCAAGUGCCUGCUUAUGAAGUGAAAGAAAGUCGGGAGUAUUUUCUAGAAAAGCAAGCCUUGGCAUUCGUUUUGUUUGUCUACCUUAAGCAUUUAUGUCUAUUAUGCAGACAGCAUGUGGCGUAGAUACAAAUAAAGUCUCUGUCCUAAAUACAUGCCUCUAAGGCAGUGUUUGCACUGGAGAAUAGCAAGAGACAUGUGUUAGAGUAUACAUUUCAAAGGACAUUAAAUAAAUAAAUGAAAUACUUUUCAACCAAGCAAAAGUAAACAAGCCCAAGACAAGCAGGAUGCUCUCAGCGAUCCUAAAUUACUGCUCACUGACAUCCUUGCUCCCUUCACAUAAAACACAGCAGUACACACGAGCUGUGCUCCAGGAACGUUUGUACGGGAAAGCAUGCUAUCUGGAAAAAGGGAUGGUUUCAUGGACCCCUUGGAUUGUUGUGUUAUGCUCUUCUGUUCCACACCACCUCUGUUCGUAUACUUCAUACCUUUGUGGGUUUUCUCUCUAAAGAUAUAAAAGAGAAAUAAACACGAAUCUAUUUACAACUCUCGAAUACUGUUUUAGCGGUCUUCUCUCGUGAACAUCCACACAUCCACGCGGGCACACACAUCUUGAAGGUGAGGCUCGUGGAAAGCAUAACAGCAUCCUUUCAAUCUUUCAGUAUUUGCCUUCUUUUGUGGCUUCAUGAGGACCACAAGGAAGACAUGUUCCAUCCUCCUCUUAGCACCCAGUGUUUCAGGAUGCUCAGGGGGCACUGUGAUUACUGUUGAUUUUUUAACAAUAUCCAGUGUCCCCUGUGAGUAAUAUGACCCUUUCUCCUGUCUGCAUGGACACAGAGAUCUAACUUCAGGCAAGGGACAAAUUUCAAAGUACAUAGAUAUAAAUCAAAUGCUUAACCGACCCCUUCUUCCAAGAAAUCUCAUCAGCAUCCAAGAAGAGGGUUAAAAAAAAUCACACUUAGUUAAACAAAUGAUUUCCUGCCUUUAAUUCUUUUUGAGAAGAACUGUGGGUAUCAUGGCGUUACUUUCAUGGAUGCUUUUGUUCCCAAUAUGGGGAGAAUAGUCACUGUUGAAAAUU